AUCUCUUCCAUCAAUCAGAGCUCAAGAAUUUACUGAUUUGAAAUGGCAAGGAUGUACCGGAAGUUGGCACUCUGCGGUGGUGAAGGAGGAAAGGAAUGGGACGACGAUGUAUAUGAGGGUGUAAAAAAAGUGUAUGUAGGGCAAGAUCUCAACCGUAUCACUUACAUCAAAUUUGAGUACGUGAAGGAAGACAGCGAAGUAGUAACAACUUUAUAUGGGACAAUAAAUCAACACCCUAAAGAUGUUCUCAUUUGCGAUACUAAAAAAAUUACUGUUGUGAAUUCGAUAAACGUUGGAUUAAUCCUUUAAGGCAUAAACAAGAAGGAGCAAGUAUUCUUGAGGCGGAAUAA